rnacentral:rRNA from 1 species
CCUACGGGAGGCAGCAGUGGGGAAUAUUGGACAAUGGGCGAAAGCCUGAUCCAGCAAUGCCGCGUGAGUGAUGAAGGCCUUAGGGUUGUAAAGCUCUUUUACCAGGGAUGAUAAUGACAGUACCUGGAGAAUAAGCUCCGGCUAACUCCGUGCCAGCAGCCGCGGUAAUACGGAGGGAGCUAGCGUUGUUCGGAAUUACUGGGCGUAAAGCGUACGUAGGCGGUUAUUCAAGUCAGAGGUGAAAGCCUGGAGCUCAACUCCAGAACUGCCUUUGAAACUAGAUAGCUAGAAUCUUGGAGAGGUGAGUGGAAUUCCGAGUGUAGAGGUGAAAUUCGUAGAUAUUCGGAAGAACACCAGUGGCGAAGGCGACUCACUGGACAAGUAUUGACGCUGAGGUACGAAAGCGUGGGGAGCAAACAGGAUUAGAUACCCUGGUAGUCCACGCCGUAAACGAUGAUAACUAGCUGUUCGGGCUCUACGAGCUUGAGUGGCGCAGCUAACGCAUUAAGUUAUCCGCCUGGGGAGUACGGUCGCAAGAUUAAAACUUAAAAGGAAAUUGAACGGCUAGAGACGUCGACCGAAGGACACCAACGGAAGGGGUAAGUAGGG